GUCUGAUGGUGAAGGAGCCAGGAAUCUUCUCCCUGGUGGCCCCAGGGGAGAACGUGAAAUUCCCUCGCUCUCCGCUGAGAUUGGCAGCUAAGGCCGGAUCCCCUGGGACGCUUUGGAGGAAGCUGCACAGGCCCCACCAUCGGAUCCCAGGAGCUGCCCCGGCCGGCCGAUAUGGAGGGGGUGGCUGGGAAUGCCCCCUCUGAACGCUUUGAGGCUAAUAUGCUUGCCCAGAGCUGCUGUCAAAACUGCUUCCACCCUGAGGAGGCCCACAGAGCAAGACACCAGAAAAAUGAACCUGAAAGACUCUUUUCUACCUGUCUUGAUACCUCCAAUCACAGCUCCUCUGUCCUCAGUCUCAAGUUCAGGGAACAGAGGCCUGAAAACCCUGUGAGUCCGCCUCCCAUGCAAAUGACCUUCUCCCAGUGGGUGGAGAGACGGCAAGUGUGGAGCAGGAGGAGAAACUGGGGUUCGGACAGGUCUGAGUUCUGGUUUCAGUCCUACCACUUCCCAGCUGAGACUUUGGGCCAGCUCACAUGUUCACAUAUAUUGAAGAGGAGCUUCAAAUGUGCCAGGCAUCAGGCUGGAUGUUGGGGAAACAGGGAUAAAUAGCACAGACACAGUUCCUGGUUCAUGGGGCUUGUCGUCUAGCAAGAGACAUGGAGACUCAGAACGUAAUGAUGCAAAUAAUUAUUUAAUCAUGGUUGUGAUAAAUGUUGUAAAGGAACAGCAAGUGGCUUGAGGGUAAAUGAUAGGGCACUGGAGGAUGUUUCUCCACGGAGAUGAUAUUUUAGCUGCUUGAUAGAGGCUUUGAGGCCGUGGCCAGUGAAGUUGGGGCAAGAGGAGAGGAAGGGAACGUAUGUGCAAAGGCCCUGAGGCAGAAAGGAGGUGGUACAGAACAAGGAUGGAGAGUGGAGUGAAGGCUGUGUCUCACCGGCCCUGUGGGACUUAUGGAUAUACUGAGGACUGGGACUUCUGAGAGGCACGGGAUGCCACUGAAGAUUUAAAACAGGGGAGUGACAUGAUCGAUCAGAUUCGCAAUUUUUUUUUUAAUCUUUUUUUUUGAGUGUUGUGCCUGUGGCAUUUGGAAGUUCCCAGGCUAGGGGUCAAAUUGGAGCUACAGCUGCCAGCCUACCCCACAGCCACAGCAAGGCCAGAUCCGAGCCGCGUCAUGCAACCGACAGCACAGCGACACCGGAUCCUUAACCCGCUGAGCGAGGCCAGGGAUCAAGCCUGCCUCCUCAUGGAUACUAGUCGGGUUCGUUUCCACGUUGCCAAAGCGGGAACUCCCAGAUUUGCAAUUUCCAAGAGAAUGAGACAGCAGCGAGUGAGAGUGAACCAGGUGGCCAGUGAGGAAAAAGUGCAGUUACUCGUAUCAGAGACGACGGAGACUUUGAGAUGGAGACAGAGGGACACAGUUCAGAACUAACUGAAUAGAAGGAUCUGAAGGUUGUGGUAGCCGAGAAACGUGGAGAGGGUAGGACAUGGCUGACUGCGGAGUCAGGUUCCUGGGAUAGGAGGUCUGUUGGGAGUGUCUGGGGUGGUGAGUGAGAGGUGCCUGGGGAAUACACUGGAGAUGAGGGGCGUUUACUUAGUAUAAGGCGCUCAGGAGCCAGAGCUCCGUGGGAGAUAGAGGCUUUCAAGUCAUCCUCAUCUGACGCUGACCAAGGUCUUGCUCAUGGAUGAGCAGUUUCAAACAUGUGGAGUCACAAAGUCUGUGUGUUAAAAAAGCAUCUCCUGGGGAGUUCCCGUUGUGGCUCAAAGGAAACAUAUCUAAGUAUCCAUGAAGAUGCAGGUUCGAUCCCUGGCCUCGCUCAGUGGGUAAAGGAUCUGGUGUGGCAGUGAGCUGUGGUGGAGGUCACAGACGUGGCUCAGAUCCUGUGUUGCUGGCUGUGGUGUAGACUCAGAUCCUGUGUUGCUGGCUGUGGUGUAGGCUCAGAUCCUGUGUUGCUGGCUGUGGUGUAGGCUGGCAGCUGCAGCUCCCAUUUGCCCCUUGCCUGGGAACCUCCAUAUGCUGAGGGUUCAGGCCCCCCCCAAAAAAAAGCCAUCUCCCACGGUUCCUUUAUGGCUUAGAAGGUGAAUGAUCCCGGAUUGUCACUGCAGCAGCUAGGCUUGCUGCUCUGGCACAGGUUUGAUCCCUGGCCGGGGAACUUCCUCAUACCUCGGGCGCAACCAAAAAAAAACAACCCAACCCCCCCCACCCCAUCCCCCAGCCUGGAUGGAGCAGCUCAUUCCCCAGCUAGAUCCCUGAGGGGAUGCAAAUGUAUCACCAGGGUAUCACCUACAUUAGAAUAUGCAGAAAUUGGAGUUCCCAUUGUGGCGCAGCAGAAACAAAUCCAACUAGGAACCAUGAGGUUGCGGGUUUGAUCCUUGACCUCUCUCAGUGGGUUAAGGAUCUGGUGUUGCUAUGAGCUGUGGUGUAGGUUGCGGACGUGGCUCGGAUCCUGAGUUACUGUGACUGUGGUGUAGGCGGGUGGCUGCAGUUCUGAUUCCACCCCUAGCCUGGGAACCUCCACAUGCUGUGGAUACAGCCCUAAAAUGCAAAAAGAGAAAGAAAAAGAAUAUGCAGAAAUGGCCCCAGAUCCCAGAGCGACGCUCUCCCAGGGAAAGCUCGCUCCAGCUCCCCUAGGAUCCUGGGCUCCCCAAUGCAUCUCUGCUCAGCUCUCAGCCGAAUCUCCCAGCCUGGGAGGUGGGGGGAGGGCUUAUCUCUGGAC
rnacentral:lncRNA from 9 species